rnacentral:lncRNA from 1 species
AAGAUGGGAGAGUACUUUAGUAUCAUGUUUUAAGACCAUCUUAAUGAUUUUGAGACCUUAUCACAAUUCAUCAUCUAAGUGCAUUCUGAUAGUUAAGAAGAGGAGUUAUGAAUUGUUGAAAUGGUUAAAUCAAGAAGAUGAUUCAUACUUCGUUCCAAAAACAAUUCUUAGAGUAAUACUCUAAGAUUGUAACUUGAGUGACAUAUCCUAAAGAAGGUUUAUAACACUUGUCAAAUGUAAAAGUAAAAUGUGUUCUACUCCUGUACAUUUGAAAUUGGUAAGCUGUGAUGUUUUGGAUAAAACAAAGACCAACUAAGGCCAAUUUUGUGAAGUGUUUGUCUUGAUAAGAAUCUGCACUAUCUCUUGAAUAUUUGUGUGUCAAGGAAUUGGUCUUGGCAAGAGAGUUUUGUAUGUCAAGAGGAUAGUGGGUGUCUAAAAGAUCCUAAAAUAGUUUCAAGAUCUAAUCAAGAAUAAAACUUGUAGUUUAUCACUAGCACACAACUUGAGGUUUAUAACUCACCGUGUUGACAUAUUCCUAUUUCUGUGCCCAUUCCAGUUAAAGUUGGUUGUGUAUAUGAGUUCUGAGAGUCCUCAAUUGGUUGCAUAACAACUUGGAAGCAAUGGCAAGCCCUUGUGCUGCCAAGUGGCAAGAAGUUAAGAUUGCACAAGUUCAGUUCAUAUGCAUUUGGAUUUGUCACUAACCUGGUCUUGUGAUUAUGGUUUUGACAAAUUCACAUGGAUAAGAACACAUACACCAUAAAAUCUAAGUGUCAUAAGGUUUCUCUCCGAUUCAUGAAAAUGAUGGUGAGGAAACACUUUCACUAAGUAGAUUUUAGCUAGAUAGCAAUUGUGAUAUUUGCAUUCUCAAAGUCGUUAGUAGAGCUGUGUGGUUAACCGGCACACUAACAUGGACUUGUGAGAAGUGGAAAAGGUCUAAACUAUUGAGGCUUUGGUAAGAAAUUGUUUUUCAUAGUUCUGAAAUUGUUUAGACACUCCUGUGAGCUAUCUAAGAUAAGGUGUAUGAUAUUGAUCAGAAAUCUGAACUUUGGUAAGAAAGUCAAUAAAGUGUUGUUUUUUCUAGAUGUUCAGUUGAUUUAUGAGUACAUGUCAAACCCAGUGGGAGCAUAAGUGGUAUGCUCAUAAUCAUCAUGUUAGCGGGAGCAUGAUAAUUAUGAUAAAGGUUGCAAGUUAGCAAUGUUAAUUAUAGAAAAUAGAAGGUUUCAAUUGGGAAAAAGUUGUUUUGCUAUAAUUCAGGGAGAGGAAAUUAUACUUCAUCUCAAAUCUAAAAGCUUAGAUUGAGGUUUUAAUCAUAUUUAGUCAAGUAUAUAUAUCAAUGUUAUGUUGGAAUGGCUCAGCAUAAGGAAAUUCUAAUAUAUGGGUCCAUUAUUUGCGUUCUAAAAUUCAAUUAUGAUUACUGCAUCCGUUUCAUAAUAUAAAUUAUGAGAACUUGGCAAAUUGAAAUGGAAAUAUUAUAGAAAAAGACUCGUUUAGUCUUUAUGUGAGACAUCAUGAAUCGUGUCCCAUAUGCUUCGGAUAUAGGAUCGAUUGCAUGUGCUAUAUUCAUCCAUUCUAAAAUUUUCCAAAUGCCUGGGGCAUUAAGAAGGGAAAAGGUCUAGAAUUGGAUAUGACUAAAAGGAUUAAACAAUUGUCGAGGAAAAUCUAAGGUUACCAAAGAUUGGUUGCUCAAGGACAGUUGGAAGUAUAGUAAUAAUUCUGGAAGGACCAUAUUGACAUAAUCUGUAAGGAGGCAACUGGUGUUCAAAAGUGAUAGUGAAAAUGGAAUAUGGAAAUGUUUCAAAGUUACAAAUUAUUCAAUCUAUGUAAGAUUAGGAAACUUAAUGCAAGAAGGAUUUUCCAAGGAGUUGAUCUACUUUGGAAUGCUCUGUAAUGAUUGUUGUCAAGUCUUUAUGACUUUGUGCAUAAUCAUUACAAGAGGAUCAAUGCAUAUAAGUUUAGAAUCAAACAGAUUUCAGUAAAUGGCAUGAAUUUGGAAUUCUUGCAUUUGUAGUAAGGAUUUGGGACUAUGAGGAUCAUUGGAGUAAUGUUCAAUUGAUCUAUUUCACAAAGUAAUGAUCAUAGACAACCAUAGUAUGCAUACUUGGUGUAUGGCAUGACUAGUGUUUAGAAAACAUAGUGUACAUGCUUGGAGCAUGGGACAACUAUUGUUUUAAAUUCAAGAAUAAAAUUGAUAGCUGAAACAGUAUACAAUGCAUAAUGUGUAAUCAUAUGGUGAUAAAUAAAAGGUGUUUUAUUUAUGUUCAUAGGUUUUGAUACUUUAUUCGAUUCAAUUAUUCUUGUGUUUCAUUUUGCAUGUUUUGACUUCAAGAAUAAACUAGGUCAUUGUUCUGGAUGACUAAGUUAUUCAAACCAUCCACAGUCGGUCAUAUGUUGGAAGUAAAUAUGAAUUAAGACUGUCAUGGGUUGGCUUGUAGAGGUCUAAGAUGUUGGACAAAGGGCUACAACACUCAUGAGUGCUCAUAAGUUAGGAGUAUUGGAUUCAACCCGCGCUCAUUGGAAUCACUUCAAGGAUUUUAUCACGAGUGAUCAUGAGACGAUAAUAUCUUAUAUUCUUCAAACCUAGAAAUGUGAGUUGUUACUAUGAAUUGGUUAUACACUGAUUGCACGAAAAUGCAUUGGUAACUCGAUGUUAUAAAACGUGCCUUUGUGUCUGAUUCAACAAGUAGUAGAACAAGCCAUAUGAGUCGAAGUUUAUCCAUUCCUUUUACUGUCGGGAUAAAAGCGAUAUCUGUGGGCCCCUCGAUGAUUUGGUGAUGACAAACGUAAGUGCUCGGCCGGGUCUGGACUAAUUUUAUUUGUUCAAUUAGUCAGUCGUCAUAGAUCGGAAAUCAGGAAACAACAAAUGGACAUAGAGAAUGAUUAUAAUCUGUGUCUCAGUCCAAAUGAUAUCUAGAAUGGAGGAAUAUAUGAUCCCUUAUCUAAUGGACAUGUCAUUUGAUUUGUUCAGAGUUUGACAGCGACUUUAAGAGCUACGAUUGCUAGUCGGGAUCUUGGAUUCAUACUUGAAUAAUAAUAAGGAUAGACUUAUCCAAGUGGGAGACUAUUGGAUUAGGUGUCUAAGCCCAUAACUAUUAUUGGUAUGUAUUCGACCCGAGAGUAGCAUGGUCCAUUAGGGUUGCAUAUCAUCAGGACAAUUUGUUAGGAUGGACUUUUGAGAGAAGGUUAUAUAUGGUUUAUUAAUAUAUUAUAUGUAAUAAUAUAUUAAUAUGAAAUCAUAUGUUUUAAUUAGUAUUGAUCAAGAAUUAAUUUGGAAUUAAUUUAGUGGUCGAAAGAGACUUAUUAAAUCUAUGGGGACUAAUUAUGAUAAUUAGUUUUAUUUAUAUGUGUUGGGCUUAUGAUCCAUGUUGGACCAAGUUUAUGUAUAGAUACAUAAACUGUUGGGCCAGAUGAACCAUGGAUCAUAAAACCCAUGGGUAUGGAUUCGGGUUAUAUCCAUGACCCUAGAAAUCCCACGUAUAAAUAGAUACUUCAUUCCCCAAAAUCGCCACUUGUAUCAUUUUAGAGUUCAUGGUGUCUUUUGUGUGCAUGGAAUUCUCUUUCAAGUUCAUCCUUUGUCCAUGGUGUGUUGUGCAGAAAGAUAAAAAGUUUGUCAAAUCUGAAAAGAUGGGAGAGUACUUUAGUAUCAUGUUUUAAGACCAUCUUAAUGAUUUUGAGAUCUUAUCACAAUUCAUCAUCUAAGUGCAUUCUGAUAGUUAAGAAGAGGAGUUAUGAAUUGUUGAAGUGGUUAAAUCAAGAAUAUGAUUGAUACUUCAUUCCAAAAACAAUUCUUAGAGUAAUACUCUAAGAUUGUAACUUGAGUGACAUAUCCAAAAGAAGGUUUAAAACACUUAUCAAAUGUAAGAGUAAAAGUUUUUUACUCUUUUACAUUUGAAAUUGGUAAGUUGUGAUGUUUUGG